GUCGAGCGAUUCUCUUCGGAGAAGAGCGGCGGACGGGUGAGUAACGCGUGGGUAACCUGCCUCAUACACAUGGAUAACAUACCGAAAGGUAUGCUAAUACAGGAUAACAUAAGAGAUUCGCAUGUUUCUCUUAUCAAAGCUUCGGCGGUAUGAGAUGGACCCGCGUCUGAUUAGCUAGUUGGUAAGGUAAUGGCUUACCAAGGCGACGAUCAGUAGCCGACCUGAGAGGGUGAUCGGCCACAUUGGAACUGAGACACGGUCCAAACUCCUACGGGAGGCAGCAGUGGGGAAUAUUGCACAAUGGGCGAAAGCCUGAUGCAGCAACGCCGCGUGAGUGAUGAAGGCCUUCGGGUCGUAAAACUCUGUCCUCAAGGAAGAUAAUGACGGUACUUGAGGAGGAAGCCCCGGCUAACUACGUGCCAGCAGCCGCGGUAAUACGUAGGGGGCUAGCGUUAUCCGGAUUUACUGGGCGUAAAGGGUGCGUAGGUGGUUUCUUAAGUCAGGAGUGAAAGGCUACGGCUUAACCGUAGUAAGCUCUUGAAACUGGGAAACUUGAGUGCAGGAGAGGAAAGUGGAAUUCCUAGUGUAGCGGUGAAAUGCGUAGAUAUUAGGAGGAACACCAGUAGCGAAGGCGGCUUUCUGGACUGUAACUGACACUGAGGCACGAAAGCGUGGGGAGCAAACAGGAUUAGAUACCCUGGUAGUCCACGCCGUAAACGAUGAGUACUAGGUGUCGGGGGUUACCCCCCUCGGUGCCGCAGCUAACGCAUUAAGUACUCCGCCUGGGGA
rnacentral:rRNA from 1 species